UUCCUUGGGAGAGGAAAUGCCCAUGGUUCAAUGAAGGCAAGCCCAGAGAAGAGACUACAUAUUGGCUUCCAGAGGAGAAAGACGAUCACGAAAAGAUUUUGACUGUUUUACAGGACCUGUAUGGGUGUACUAAGUCAUGCCUUUCUGCAGGUGGAGUUCUUUUCAAGACGACAUCAAAUUUAAUUGUUCUGUAUUUUGGGGAUGACAUUCGAUCUCGCUUGGAGACACCAAUCACACUGUGGUGACUGGUGAUGGCAGGAGUGGACAAAAUGUAGUCCACAAAGCUACACUUUGGGCUGAGGGUUGUUUGUUACCUGUGUGGGGAGGGACAAAGAAGCGCUCACGAAGAAAAGCUGAGCAGGGGGAGAAGAGACAACCGGAAGAGUUUUGUUGGGCUGAGGCAGAAUAAGGGUUCUGUUCACCUGACCUGUAAAUUGUGGAUUUCUUACUAAAGGCAAGGUUCAUAUUAUUUAUUUAUUUUUUAAUAAUAACUUGAUGCACUUGAUUUCAAAUAAAGAUUGUUUUAAAAGCUAA